AUUGUCUAAAACGACCAAGCUAAUACUUGCUUGAUUCACUUCACUAGAGGUAAAGUGUUUGAAGCCUUUUGGCUUCCAGUCCUUUUCUUCUGGCACCAAAGAGGGUGCCUUUU
rnacentral:misc_RNA from 1 species